rnacentral:rRNA from 1 species
GCUUAACGCGAAGAACCUUACCUGGCCUUGACAUCCAUGGAAUCCCGAAGAGAUUUGGGAGUGCCGCAAGGAACCAUGAGACAGGUGCUGCAUGGCUGUCGUCAGCUCGUGUCGUGAGAUGUUGGGUUAAGUCCCGCAACGAGCGCAACCCUUGUCCUUAGUUGCCAUCAUUAAGUUGGGAACUCUAAGGAGACCGCCGGUGACAAACCGGAGGAAGGUGGGGAUGACGUCAAGUCAUCAUGGCCUUUAUGGCCAGGGCUACACACGUGCUACAAUGGCAAGUACAGAGGGAAGCCAACCGGCGACGGGGAGCUAAUCCCAGAAAACUUGUCUUAGUCCGGAUUGCAGUCCGCAACUCGACUGCAUGAAGUUGGAAUCGCUAGUAAUCGCGAAUCAGAAUGUCGCGAUGAAUACGUUCCCGGGUCUUGUACACACCGAGUCGU